AGGUUGAUAUUCCUGUACCACCUCUUUAUCGUUUGAGCAAUGGAGGGACGCAGAAGGAUAGAAGAAGCGUGCGAUUGGUUGUGCACGUCCAAGCAGUUAGGCUGAUAAGUAGGCAAAUCCGCUUAUCGCGUAUGCUGAGCUGUGAUGGGGAAGCUCCUUAUGGAGCGAAGUCUUUGAUUCCCCGCUGCCAAGAAAAGCUUCUAGCGAGAUAAAAGGUGCCUGUACCGCAAACCGACACAGGUAGGCGAGGAGAGAAUCCU
rnacentral:rRNA from 1 species